rnacentral:rRNA from 1 species
GUGCACCAGGCGAGAAACCUCCGCAAUGCUCGAAAGAGCGACGGGGGGACUCCAAGUGCCUACGGCUCAGCGUAGGCCUGUUCCCGAGCCUAAAAAGCUCGGGGAGUAAGGGCUGGGUAAGACGGGUGCCAGCCGCCGCGGUAAUACCCGCAGCCCGAGUGGUGCCGCUAUUAUUGGGCCUAAAGCGGUCCGUAGCCGGCUCGGUAAAUGCCUGGGUAAAUCGGUCUGGCCCAA